UAUACCAGUGCUAAUUUGGCAAAGAUCUACAUGACUAGGAUCAUUUGUUUGCAUGGAGUUCCAAGGAGUAUCGUAUCAGAUAGAGGAACCCAAUUUACCUCAAAGUUUUGGAAUCAGUUGCAUGAAACUUUAGGAACCAGACUAGAGUUCAGCACAGCUUUUCAUCUGCAGACAGAUGGACAGACCGAGAGAGUCAAUCAGAUUUUGGAAGAUAUGCUGAGAGCUUGUGCACUAGAUUAUGGAUCUAGUUGGGACGAUAACUUGCCGUAUGCGGAGUUUUCUUAUAACAACAGUUACCAAACCAGUUUGAAGAUGGCACCUUUCGAAGCUUUAUACGGAAGGAGGUGCAGGACACCGUUGUCAUGGGACGAAGUUGGAGACCGUCAAUUCUUU
rnacentral:rRNA from 1 species